UUCGGGGUACUCGAGUGGCGAACGGGUGAGUAACACGUGGGCAAUCUGCCCUGCACACCGGGAUAAGCCUGGGAAACUGGGUCUAAUACCGGAUAGGACCACUUGGCGCAUGCCUUGUGGUGGAAAGCUUUUGCGGUGUGGGAUGGGCCCGCGGCCUAUCAGCUUGUUGGUGGGGUGAUGGCCUACCAAGGCGACGACGGGUAGCCGGCCUGAGAGGGUGGNUCCGGCCACACUGGGACUGAGAUACGGCCCAGACUCCUACGGGAGGCAGCAGUGGGGAAUAUUGCACAAUGGGCGCAAGCCUGAUGCAGCGACGCCGCGUGGGGGAUGACGGCCUUCGGGUUGUAAACCUCUUUCACCAUCGACGAAGGUCCGGGUUUUCUCGGAUUGACGGUAGGUGGAGAAGAAGCACCGGCCAACUACGUGCCAGCAGCCGCGGUAAUACGUAGGGUGCGAGCGUUGUCCGGAAUUACUGGGCGUAAAGAGCUCGUAGGUGGUUUGUCGCGUUGUUCGUGAAAUCUCACGGCUUAACUGUGAGCGUGCGGGCGAUACGGGCAGACUAGAGUACUGCAGGGGAGACUGGAAUUCCUGGUGUAGCGGUGGAAUGCGCAGAUAUCAGGAGGAACACCGGUGGCGAAGGCGGGUCUCUGGGCAGUAACUGACGCUGAGGAGCGAAAGCGUGGGGAGCGAACAGGAUUAGAUACCCUGGUAGUCCACGCCGUAAACGGUGGGUACUAGGUGUGGGUUUCCUUCCUUGGGAUCCGUGCCGUAGCUAACGCAUUAAGUACCCCGCCUGGGGAGUACGGCCGCAAGGCUAAAACUCAAAGGAAUUGACGGGGGCCCGCACAAGCGGCGGAGCAUGUGGAUUAAUUCGAUGCAACGCGAAGAACCUUACCUGGGUUUGACAUGCACAGGACGCGUCUAGAGAUAGGCGUUCCCUUGUGGCCUGUGUGCAGGUGGUGCAUGGCUGUCGUCAGCUCGUGUCGUGAGAUGUUGGGUUAAGUCCCGCAACGAGCGCAACCCUUGUCUCAUGUUGCCAGCGGGUAAUGCCGGGGACUCGUGAGAGACUGCCGGGGUCAACUCGGAGGAAGGUGGGGAUGACGUCAAGUCAUCAUGCCCCUUAUGUCCAGGGCUUCACACAUGCUACAAUGGCCGGUACAAAGGGCUGCGAUGCUGCGAGGUUAAGCGAAUCCUUUUAAAGCCGGUCUCAGUUCGGAUCGGGGUCUGCAACUCGACCCCGUGAAGUCGGAGUCGCUAGUAAUCGCAGAUCAGCAACGCUGCGGUGAAUACGUUCCCGGGCCUUGUACACACCGCCCGUCACGUCAUGAAAGUCGGUAACACC
rnacentral:rRNA from 1 species